GGGGCUGAUUCUGGAUUCGACGGGAUUUGUGAAACCCAAGGUGCAUGCCGAGGGGCGGUUGGCCUCGUAAAAAGCCGCAAAAAAAUAGUCGCAAACGACGAAACCUACGCUUUAGCAGCUUAAUAACCUGCUUAGAGCCCUCUCUCCCUAGCCUCCGCUCUUAGGACGGGGAUCAAGAGAGGUCAAACCCAAAAGAGAUCGCGCGGAUGCCCUGCCUGGGGUUGAAGCGUUAAAACGAAUCAGGCUAGUCUGGUAGUGGCGUGUCCGUCCGCAGGUGCCAGGCGAAUGUAAAGACUGACUAAGCAUGUAGUACCGAGGAUGUAGGAAUUUCGGACGCGGGUUCAACUCCCGCCAGCUCCACCA
rnacentral:tmRNA from 1 species